ACGACAUGAUUAAGCGGGUCUUUCACUAUGAGGACGAUGCCGGAGGAAAAAUAAAGCGCGAUAUUAUGAAGAGGAUAGGAAAGAACUGGAAGGAUACAAGGCACAACUUGUAUCAUAAGUGUUACAAAGAAAUAAGUACUUAUGAGAAAAAUCUUGAGCAUCGCUCGAAAGGAAUAGAAGAAAAUGAAUGGAAAAAGUUCAUUGACUAUCGCCAGAAGGAAGAAACAAAGAAAAAGUGUAAACAGAACGCUUUAAAUCAGAGCAAGCAACUUUACACACAUACUGGGGGCUCCAAAACAUUGGCAAGAAAAAAAAGAUGAAGAGGAGAAAGAGCUAGGAAGGCCCGUUGGUAGAGGAUAGUUGUUUAUCAUGACUCAUAAGAAAAAA